rnacentral:other from 1 species
CAGACGAGAGCCUGAACGGCUUGAUUCUCUCUAGAAUCAAUUGGCACUCGAUUGUAAUGUUGUGUUUGCAAUCUCGAUUUUCGAGUUUAGGUAGAUUCUACCACCGUGCAGUGCUUACUGAGUGAUACUACUUACUGAGUAAAUGGUGUACGUACUUCCUGUUUUUGACCUGUCUGUCAAUGUUUGCACCGCCUUUAUGGCGGUGUUCUUUUAU